rnacentral:rRNA from 1 species
UACAGAGGUCCCAAGCGUUGUUCGGAUUCACUGGGCGUAAAGGGUGCGUAGGUGGCCAGGUAAGUUUGGUGUGAAAGCUCGGAGCUUAACUCCGAAAAGUCAUUGAAUACUAUCUGGCUGGAGGGUCGGAGGGGAGACUGGAAUUCUCGGUGUAGCAGUGAAAUGCGUAGAUAUCGAGAGGAACACCAGUGGCGAAGGCGAGUCGCUGGACGACUCCUGACACUGAGGCACGAAAGCUAGGGGAGCAAACAGG